AAUAAGCGGAGGAAAAGAAAGCAACAGCGAUAGCCUCAGUAACGGCGAGUGAAGCGGCUACAGCUCAAAUUUGAAAUCUGGCCUCCUCUGGGGGUCCGAGUUGUAAUUUGCAGAGGAUGCUUUGGCAUUGGCGGCGGUCUAAGUUCCUUGGAACAGGACAUCGCAGAGGGUGAGAAUCCCGUACGUGGGCGCCUGCCUUUGCCGUGUAAAGCUCCUUCGACGAGUCGAGUUGUUUGGGAAUGCAGCUCUAAAUGGGAGGUAAAUUUCUCCUAAAGCUAAAUACCGGCCAGAGACCGAUAGCGCACAAGUAGAGUGAUCGAAAGAUGAAAAGUACUUUGGAAAGAGAGUCAAAUAGCACGUGAAAUUGUUGAAAGGGAAGCGCUUGCAGCCAGACUUGCCCGCAGUUGCUCACCUAGGCUUUCGCCUGGGGCACUCUUCUGCGGGCAGGCCAGCAUCAGUUUGGGCGGUCGGAUAAAGGCCUCUGUCAUGUACCACCCCUCGGGGUGGCCUUAUAGGGGAGGCGUAAUGCGACCAGCCCGGACUGAGGUCCGCGCAUCUGCUAGGAUGCUGGCGUAAUGGCUGUAAGCGG
rnacentral:rRNA from 1 species